rnacentral:tRNA from 1 species
UGUGUUGUGGCUCAGUGGUAGAGCACUUGCCUAGCAUGUGUGAGGCACUUGGGUUCAAUCCUCAGCACCACAU